rnacentral:rRNA from 1 species
UACGUAGGUGGCAAGCGUUGUCCGGAUUUACUGGGCGUAAAGGGCGCGUAGGCGGCCGCCUAAGUCAGACGUGAAAUCCCUCGGCUCAACCGGGGAACUGCGUCUGAUACUGGGUGGCUUGAAUUCGGGAGAGGGAUGCGGAAUUCCAGGUGUAGCGGUGAAAUGCGUAGAUAUCUGGAGGAACACCGGUGGCGAAGGCGACUUUCUGGCCUGUUCUUGACGCUGAGGCGCGAAAGCUAGGGGAGCAAAGCGGGG